UCUUGAUUUAAAUGGAAGAACUUGAGUAGUAAUAGUUUAGGUCUUGAAACUUAAAGAAUUUGGCGGUAUUUUAGUCUGCUCAGAGGAAUCUGUUCCGUAAUCGAUAAUCCGCGUUGGACCUUUCUUAUUUUAUUUGUUUGUAUAUCGCCGUUAAGUUUAAAAAUCUUGGAAAAGUAUAAAAUUUUUAUAAUAUUUUGUUUGAUAAUUUUUCAGGUCAAGGUGCAGUUUAUAAGUAAGUGGAGAUGGAUUACAUUAGUAAUGAACUAUAGUUGAAUUAUUAAUUGGAAUAUAUUAAUAUGAAAUUGGAUUUGAUAGUAAUUUUGUGAAGAUUAAUAUUAUGAAUAUAGCUCUAUAAUAUGC
rnacentral:rRNA from 1 species